UGUCCGGGGCGGCCGCAUGUGGCCCAAGGGCCGUAGUUUGAGGACGCCUGCUCUAGUCAGUUUUACAACCCAGGAACUUCUUUCUCAAGGACCCGGGAGCCACCCUUUUGAAAUGUAAUCAUUAAAGAAAGCAGCACCGUUACCCCCCAGUCUCUGUGGGAGGCCGGAAGCCUAACUGGCGUGGCGCCUUGCUGAGCUGUAAAGCUGCCUCCUAACACAAAGACAGGAGAAACCUUCUUUUCCGUUUGGGAAGGCCGAUUUGCGGCCGCAGAUGGCGUGUGUCCCUCCGCCCCAGCGCCUGCAGCCGGCCCCUUUGUUUCGGUGGCUCUGAGUAUGCGGACUCCGGCUGUGCUCUCGCCCUGGGCGUGGGCAAGAGCGGCGGCAUAAAAUCCACGUCUUUCUGCUCGUCUUGCUCAGCGUGAUUUUCCCUUUGGCAGGUGCUGUGGAUACAACUAUAAACAAAACAGCCGGACAUAGCCUUCACUUUGGGGAAGUUCCAAUUUUGGCUAGAAGAGCCAAACAGUGAACAGAGACGCACACACAUCAAUCGUGACCAGCUCCAUGAAAAGAAAUACGCAAGUAGCUUAAAGUGACAGAGAAUGAAAGGUGACAGUUCAGAUGGGGAUAAGAGACUAUAUCAAGGGACUGGUUUUAAAAAGAAAAAAAGAAGCACAGUAAAAAACAAUGUUUAAAAUAUAACAUCCCUUCAAAGAAAAAGGCGGGAACUUCCCUGUCCUCAUCAGACCUGCUCGCAUAGCUGCAGGUGAGGCAAUGAAAAUCUACAUUGGAUGCCGA